AUUAAUUUAAGUCUUAUUUAACUAAUUUUUUUUUUCGUGUAUUUAAUUAUGGUAUAAUAUAUAAGUUUAAAUUUAUAAUUUAUAUGAAUUUUAUUAAAUUUUUUUUUUAGUAGUAUAUAAUUUUAAUUAUUAAUUUAUUUUAGAAUUAGUAAUUUAUUUUAGUAUUUACAAAUUUUGUGCCAGCAGUAGCGGUUACACAAAUAAUACAAUUUAUAUUUAUUGAAUAUAAUUAAUAGAAAAAUUAGUUAUAAUUAAAAUUUUAAAUUUUAAGGUGAAAUUUAAAUUUAAAAUAAUUUUAUUAAUAAUUUUAUGAAGUUAAAAAAUUUUUUUAAAAAACUAGGAUUAGAUACCCUAUUAUUAAAAAUGUAAAUAUUUAAUUCAAGUGAUUAAUAGUUAAGUUCUUUAAAGCUAAAUAAUUUGGCGGUAUUUUAUACUUUUCAGAGGAACCUGUACUUUAAUUGAUAAUCCACGAUAAAAGUAACUUAAUUUAGAAACUUUUAUAUCAUCGUUUUUAAAUAUUUUUUUAGAAUUUAAUAUUUAUAAUUUUUUAUUAAAAAAUAAAUCAGAUCAAGGUGAAGUUUAUAAUUAAGUAGAUAUGGGUUACAAUAUUUUUUAUUUUUGAAUAAUUUAUUUAAAUAUAUUUUUGAAAUUGGAUUUGUUAGUAAUUUUAAAAAUUUUUUUAAAAUGAUUAAGUACUGAAAUAUGCACAUAUUGCCCGUCGCUUUCUUAUAAAUUGAAAUAAGUCGUAACAUAGUAGAUUUACUGGAAAGUGUCUCUAGAAUGAU
rnacentral:ncRNA from 1 species